CACUGAACUCAACACUCUCAACUUAGACUCAGACUCUUAACUCAGCAUAUACAAUGCAUUGGUUCUUGUACAUCCAACAAGGAUGCUUUCCCCCCGCCCCGGCAACAGCCUCUCAUUGGUCUAGAGCCAGGGUGGCCAACCUAUGGCGCUCCAGAUGCUCAUGGACUACAAU